rnacentral:rRNA from 1 species
UGGGGAAUAUUGCACAAUGGGCGAAAGCCUGAUGCAGCAACGCCGCGUGAGUGAUGACGGCCUUCGGGUUGUAAAGCUCUGUCUUUUGGGACGAUAAUGACGGUACCAAAGGAGGAAGCCACGGCUAACUACGUG